rnacentral:lncRNA from 1 species
UAGAAUUUUGAAUAUUUGAUAUUAAUGACUCAACUUGCAGAACCUAGACAUAAAAUGGAAGGGAAGGUGAUUAUCCAAGGUAUUGACUGAUAGUUGCUUAUAAGAAAAUUCAGUUUUUCUAUGAUAUUAUUAUCUAAAACGCACCCAUUAAGGCAAUUCUCCGCCUGAAUAUGAUCAAACAGUCAAGAAUCCGGACUAAACCUACUCGGAAAGGUACAGGUCUAAAAUGGGUUGCCAGGUUUCAAAUUUCUGUAGCAAUUCUUCUACAGAGAGACACAAUUCUUCAAAUGCCUUGCUAGCCCAUUCAAAGAAGAUAAAUCAGCCACUUGAAUCUCCGAGGUCCUUAUGUCUCACAACUCUCUUAGCUUUCACGAUACCAUGCUUCAAAUCUGACUCGGUAAUUUCAUCUGGCUGUAUGCCCCUCUUUGGCAUUU